rnacentral:tRNA from 1 species
CGGGGUGUAGCGCAGUUGGUAGCGCGCAUCGUUCGGGACGAUGAGGUCGCAGGUUCGAAUCCUGUCACCCCGACCA